rnacentral:rRNA from 1 species
UACGUAGGGUCCGAGCGUUAAUCGGAAUUACUGAGCGUAAAGCGUGCGCAGGCGGUUUUGUAAGCCAGAUGUGAAAGCCCCGGGCUUAACCUGGGAAUGGCAUUUGGGACUGCAAGGCUUGAGUGCGGCAGAGGAGACUGGAAUUCCUGGUGUAGCAGUGAAAUGCGUAGAUAUCAGGAGGAAUACCGAUGGCGAAGGCAGGUCUCUGGGCUGACACUGACGCUCAUGCACGAAAGCGUGGGGAGCAAACAGG